UCUCCUGGAAACGGGUGGUAAUGCCGGAUGUUCCAGUUGAUCGCAUGGUCUUCUGGGAAAGCUUUCGCGGUAUGGGAUGGGGUCGCGUCCUAUCAGCUUGACGGCGGGGUAACGGCCCACCGUGGCUUCGACGGGUAGCCGGCCUGAGAGGGCGACCGGCCACAUUGGGACUGAGAUACGGCCCAGACUCCUACGGGAGGCAGCAGUGGGGAAUAUUGCACAAUGGGCGCAAGCCUGAUGCAGCGACGCCGCGUGAGGGAUGGAGGCCUUCGGGUUGUAAACCUCUUUUAUCGGGGAGCAAGCGAGAGUGAGUUUACCCGUUGAAUAAGCACCGGCUAACUACGUGCCAGCAGCCGCGGUAAUACGUAGGGUGCAAGCGUUAUCCGGAAUUAUUGGGCGUAAAGGGCUCGUAGGCGGUUCGUCGCGUCCGGUGUGAAAGUCCAUCGCUUAACGGUGGAUCCGCGCCGGGUACGGGCGGGCUUGAGUGCGGUAGGGGAGACUGGAAUUCCCGGUGUAACGGUGGAAUGUGUAGAUAUCGG
rnacentral:rRNA from 1 species